AAGAAAAGAGAGAGAAAAUAAAAAGUCAUUCAUAUUUUUUCUUUCCCUCUUGCCGGAGAUAACGACAACCUCGUCGGAAAAUGAAUAUUCCGGCGACUUGUUCCUUUCUUCGCAAAUGUAAUGCUUGUGUUUCAGUUCAUUACCGUCACGUUUUCCAUGAAAAGUCUUCACCAAAAGCACACACAUUCCUUUCUUUUCCUCAUUUCUGAACAGAGUUAAGGUAUCCAAAGUUCGAUCAGUUUUAUUUUUUCUUUCUUUUUGAAUAAAACUUGAACUCUUUGAUUGAUUCGGUGAGAUGUAUCUGUGAUGAUGUGCAACUGCUUUUGAUAAAGGAAGAGGAGUUAUACUUUUUGAGAAUAGAUUUAGGUGAAUUUUGAUAUUAAUUUUCUGGAAUCUGUGAGUUUUUUUUCGGUGAUUUUUCUGCAAAGUUUUCUGUGAGGAUUUAGGGCUGGUUUUAGAUGCAGAAUUCUGAUUUUUUUGACAUCAGCGAGUAGGUGUUUAAAGCUCUCAAAAUUGAGCAAAACUGACAGAGGGAGUAUAAUUAGGCUUAGAGAGAGAGAGAGAGAGAGUUUGCAGCAAGAACUAAUUACAUGAGCUUACAACUUUCCUUUGCCAAGAAAUCAGAAAAAAAAAAUAAAUAUAUUUAUAUAUAUAAAAAAGAAGAAAAAUAUAUAACUCCCAAGAAGUGAACAAAAGGACGAUUCUACACAGGCAUUGCGACAAAACAAGAUUAAUGCCAAUAAGAAGAAGAUUUCCUUAAGCACUUUCAGCAGGAAUCUGACCCAUAAUCCCGAAGUUGCUGGCGUACUUGGGCCUCCAUUCAGUCCUUCCCCUCACUAUCUCAGCCCCAUCCUCAAGUCGAAGCAAGUGCUGGCACUCAAUCUCACCAGCAUUUCCUAUAUUUCCUAUCCCAUUGCCAGACACGGCAGUCAGAGACUGCAGCACACUGUCCUUUCCACACUCCCUCCUAUACUCCAUAGUAAUGGCAGACAGUUCGUGACUUUCCAGGAUUGAGAGUGGAGCACUCUGCAUAAGGUGAAAUAAUCAUUCACAUUGAGAGAGAGACAAAAAGCUAUAAUCUCAAGAUAAAACAUGUCUUAUCCAGUCCAGCUAUCAGUUAUCAAGCAAUUGACCAUUUCAGAAUACUAUGUAAAAAAAUGAGGCAUAAAGGUCAUGGCAUAGCAUAUCACAUAGCUGGAUGUCAACCUUAAAUCUUUUUUUUUUUUUCAAUUUAUUUGUUAGUACCAUUGUUAGCAAUACAAACAAUUAUCUAAAAGAUAUAAUUAUAUACGCUCCUCUCUCAUAAGUCAUAAACCAUAAAAGAUAGAUGAAAACAACUGUAGAAAGGAAUCAGCAGAAUGGCAAAAAUAAUUUUAAAAAAAUGACUAAGGACACAAGUUAACAUGCUCUUCUAUAAUUUUUGGUUUAACUAAAACUUUUAGAAAGUGAUAUUUUUCAUUGAAUCCCAUUCUAAAGAAGCAAUCUAGACAAGAUUUCAUCAAACUGGCCAUUUUAAUACUAAUGAUAGAACCUUAUGGCUACAGUUACCACUACUAAUGCAGCAAAACAAGGGAGGGUAUUAAAAUUGAGAUAUUCUAGGUCAACAAGAUCUACCUCAAGGAUCCAGCCAAUGUACUUCACAUUGUUAACAUGCUGGUUGAUAUCUAGGUCACUCCAUCUAGGCUGCAAAACAUAUAGUCCAUAUUAUCAUGAGAACAGCAGGUGAGCAAUAAUUACAAGCCAUAAGCCAUUCAGUAACUACUAAUGUUAUGGUAAGUUCACUUACAGUUAAACCUUUGCGAACAUAGUCUGCAGUGUUGUCAUCAAGCUUUGGCAAUUUUCUGCUAUCCUCAUCUACGACAGGAUCAGAGUUUAAAAAAUAAGGCUCUAUUUCCGCUCGAACCUGUUCUGGAAUUUUAGAUAACCUUCUUGUCAGUUUAUUCAUCAUCACCCACACACUGUCAAUACCAAAUGUUCCAAAUUAAUUAGUCAUCAGCUUGAGGGGGGGAAAACACUAGGAAAGGCAUAAAUUUCAAAGAAAAAUUUUCUACCUAGAGGCUCUUGUUAGAGUUUCACCAGUUUUACUGUCACGGACAAGCCAAUCACGGCGCAUACCAUUCUUUCCAGAUGCACUCACCCAAGUAUCCACUUGAACAACAUCACCCCUGCAAGACAAUAUAAUUCAGCCAAUCAAAACUCAGGUCAUCAUGUCCAUGAUCAUCCAAACUAGCUCUACAACAAAAUGUAACCAUGACAGCAAGCACUAAGUUCAAAAUGCAUCCACCAUUUACGGCAAAGUCUUGCUUCAAGCAACCAUCUAGUGCAAAAGCAACCAAUCAUCUAGUCACAAAACAAUCGUGUGUAACUGAAUUGCAUUGUAUCUUAAGGUUUGCUGGAUUCAAAUGUUAUUUUCACAGCAAUUUCUCAACAUGUUGCGUAACCCCAAAAGUAUAAAUGUCCUUUUAUCAAACAGCUAUAGCCAUCAUUGACCAUUACCAGCUGGGAAAAUUCUAGUUUCCAACUAUGCCUAGCCAUGGUUUGGUUCUGGCCCAGAACUGACCCGGAUCCAGCCUGAAUAUAAUCAUCCAAGCCAGGCUGGUCCCAGGUCAAACCCAGUUUUUUCCUUAAAAAGAAAAAGUUAGAUUUUAUUAAAACCAGACCGAACCAGGCCCAGAAAGAUCCUGUGAUCUGGUCCCGGUCCCCUUGAACUGGAACCGUCAGCAGGCCUAUUUCCAACCAAUGAUUGCAAUGCCUGAAUGUUAAGUGCAGAUUCCAAGGAAUUCUGAAGAAAUUAAAAAUUAAAGACAUAUGUCAGCCUAUUUAAAAAAGCAAGAUUCUGACUUAGGGCCUUGGAUUCAAAUGACUAGAAAGAAGGUAAGGGUUUGCAGGAUGGACAACAAAAGGCCAAAGAAUUUCAUAUGAAAGACAAGUACAUAUUAGCAUUAACAAGAAUUUCAAGACAAAAUGUAGAUAGAAACAUCAAAAAUCAUAAAGUAUAAGAGCAAAAGAUUAAGAUCAUAAAUUGAUUUAUUUAAUGGAAAACAAUUUAAAAAGAGUUAUGGCUUACCAAGUUGGGUAACGAUCCACCAGGACCUGCAUACGAGUGACCACCCAUAUCAGAUUCCUUUUACUCAUCUCUGGGGUUGAACCAAAUCCAUCACCAAGAAGUCCAGCAGUCUUUACAUGAUUGAGAGCCGUUUCUUGUAAAUGAUUCAUCAACGUCUCUAUAGAUGCCGUACGAUCAGCACCAAUUUCAUAAGAUCUGAUGGAGAAGUUCUGGCGAAACACAAGUCCAUCCUGAACAAUUCUACCUAGACCAAAGGGGUCAAUAAGCAUGUCAGGUCGCUUUGGUUUCCAGUCAAGCAUCAUCCACUGCUUCUCUGCUGCCAAAAAAAUAGUUGUAAUAGCAGCAAGAAGCAUGCUCCAAUCAGGUAAUUGGUUGAUAAAGGUCCUAGGCGGGGGUGAAGGAAUGUCAUCCUCAUUCUUCACAUUUUCCACAGAUGUUGUUGUGAAGCCUACUGGGGAUCCAUUUAUCUUGGGAGGGGCUUGGGCAUUUGCCUUGACCUGCAAGCCCCCAGAAGAAGCAGAUUUCAAUUUGAUUCCUCCCAAACUUGCAGUUCCACUGCCAAUCUUGGUGGACUUGGCAUCCGCAGAUGGAGAGGGAACUGGAAAGAUCGACGAAGUAGCAGCAGCGGCAACCAUGCUGUAAUUUAAGAUUCAAGGAACCAAGCGGAGCUUGACAGCUAAUUGAUUAGAAUUUGACAACAACGAGCAAGUUUCAGAAUCUUAUUAUUUGUCCCGCAAUCUACUGCAAUAUUCUUCCCAGCCAGCCACCGAGAGAGACAGAGACAGAGAGAGAGAGGGGUGAGGCAGCCCAACAAACAAGAGAAAACUAAUUAAAAAGCAAAAAUGACAAGGUCAAACGCGUCAUUUCGUAUCUGCGAGACACGCUUCUCUCCCCUAUUCUUCUAGGGUUCGCAGAGCUUCCUUUCCCGUUGCCUUUUCUCUCCCUUUUUUUUCUCUAUAUAUAUAUAUAUUAUUUUAUUUUAAAGCUUCCUUUCUCUAGCUUUCUAAAAAAGCCCAAACUUCGACCAGAGAGAGAGAAAGAGAGGUUGAGUGGUUUGAAUGGUGAUGAACUCAGCGAGUGGAAUUUAUAGUGCACACCCUGGCUCAGGCACCCUCUCCUGCCUCUCCUUCAAAGUUCCAUUUCGCCAACAUUUCUCUCGUCUUAUUUACGUUUUUGCCACCCUUAAUUAUUGUCCUCG
rnacentral:misc_RNA from 1 species